rnacentral:tRNA from 1 species
AGUUGAGUUGCGCAGCGGAAGCGUGCUGGGCCCUUAUCCCAGAGGUCAAUGGAUUGAAACCAUUCUCUACUA